rnacentral:rRNA from 1 species
GACGAACGCUGGCGGCGUGCUUAACACAUGCAAGUCGAACGGAAAGGCCCUGCUUGCAGGGUGCUCGAGUGGCGAACGGGUGAGUAACACGUGGGUGAUCUGCCCCUUACUUUGGGAUAAGCCUGGGAAACUGGGUCUAAUACUGGAUAGGACCAUGCUGUAGGUGGUGUGGUGGAAAGAUUAGUUUCGGUAAGGGAUGAGCUCGCGGCCUAUCAGCUUGUUGGUGGGGUAAUGGCCUACCAAGGCGUCGACGGGUAGCCGGCCUGAGAGGGUGGACGGCCACAUUGGGACUGAGAUACGGCCCAGACUCCUACGGGAGGCAGCAGUGGGGAAUAUUGCACAAUGGGCGCAAGCCUGAUGCAGCGACGCCGCGUGGGGGAUGACGACCUUCGGGUUGUAAACUCCUUUCAGCCAUGACGAAGCCCUUGUGGUGACGGUAGUGGUAGAAGAAGCACCGGCUAACUACGUG